GGGCGCGUAGCUCAGUUGGUUAGAGCACUACCUCGACAUGGUAGGGGUCCCGGGUUCGAGUCCCGUCGCGCCCACUA
rnacentral:tRNA from 2 species